GUUGUCUGGUACAUGUAUCUGGAAACUGACUAUAAUUUAAUCUCUAAGAAGGGAUUGUCACGGAUCUAUGUACAAAUGUCGUCUUAAUUUACUUACUUACUAUUUUAUGUAAAUGUAGAUUUUCUGUAUCCUCAACACCCCUUUCGUCUCUUUAAAGUAAUGUUAUAUGGUUAACCUUUUAGAUUGAUAAGUAUUUCGUAGAUAAGAAGAUAGCAUAAGAAGACGAAAAUGGCGGUUGGUGACCUAGUAAAGUUUUUGCUCGUUCUGUUCCAAAUUAACAUUAUUGAAGGAGCAUGUAACGGCUGUUCAGACCUACGUGGGUACCAGGUUAUUCAUUAUAAAGAAUCAAGUGAUUUAAUACAAAAUCCGGGGCGGGGCUUCUAUGUUCAAUUUGAGACGAAAGCCAGUUCGUUUAAUCCAUU